ACGCUAGCUACAGGCUUAACACAUGCAAGUCGUGGGGCAGCGGAUGCUUAGCUUGCUAAGUAUGCCGGCGACCGGCGCACGGGUGAGUAACGCGUACCGAACCUGCCCAUCACACAGGGAUAGGCUUGCGAAAGCAAGAUUAAUACCUGAUGGUCUCAGUUGUAUGCAUGUAUGAUUGAGUAAAGCCUUCGGGCGGUGAUGGAUGGCGGUGCGUCCCAUUAGGAAGUUGGCGGGGUAACGGCCCACCAAUCCUUCGAUGGGUAGGGGUUCUGAGAGGAAGGUCCCCCACAUUGGAACUGAGAUACGGUCCAAACUCCUACGGGAGGCAGCAGUGAGGAAUAUUGGUCAAUGGGCGAGAGCCUGAACCAGCCAAGUAGCGUGCGGGAUGAAGGCCCUUGUGGUCGUAAACCGCUUUUAUCAGUGAAUAAAGUGCAUCACGUGUGGUGUCAUUGCAGGUAGCUGAAGAAAAAGGACCGGCUAAUUCCGUGCCAGCAGCCGCGGUAAUACGGAAGGUCCGGGCGUUAUCCGGAAUUAUUGGGUUUAAAGGGAGCGCAGGCGGGAGUAUAAGUCAGCUGUUAAAUAUCAGGGCCCAACUCUGUUAUGCAGUUGAAACUAUAUUUCUUGAGUACGCACAGGGAUGGCGGAAUUCAGGGUGUAGCGGUGAAAUGCUUAGAUAUCCUGAAGAACUCCGAUCGCGAAGGCAGCCAUCCGGAGCGUAACUGACGCUGAGGCUCGAAGGUGCGGGUAUCGAACAGGAUUAGAUACCCUGGUAGUCCGCACGGUAAACGAUGAAUACUCGCAGUUCGGCCUUUUAGGUCGAGUUGUCCAGCGAAAGCGUUAAGUAUUCCACCUGGGGAGUACGCCGGCAACGGUGAAACUCAAAGGAAUUGACGGGGGCCCGCACAAGCGGAGGAACAU
rnacentral:rRNA from 1 species